rnacentral:rRNA from 1 species
CAGUCGCCGCGGUAAUACGUAGGUGGCAAGCGUUGUCCGGAAUUAUUGGGCGUAAAGCGCGCGCAGGUGGUUUAAUAAGUCUGGUGUGAAAGCCCACGGCUCAACCGUGGAGGGUCAUUGGAAACUGUUAAACUUGAGUGCAGGAGAGAAAAGUGGAAUUCCUAGUGUAGCGGUGAAAUGCGUAGAGAUUAGGAGGAACACCAGUGGCGAAGGCGGCUUUUUGGCCUGUAACUGACACUGAGGCGCGAAAGCGUGGGGAGCAAACAGGAUUAGAUACCCCUGUAGUCCCUGUCUCUUACAC